AACCUUAUGGACCUGCGGGCGUAUACCUGCGGAAGGAUCAUUACAACAAGGUUCCCUGGCCCUCGAAGCUUCGGCGGAGGGGCGCUACAGCCUGACUUUAUACCCACCCUUUGCCUAUGUGUACCCCUAUUGCUUCCCUCGGCGGGCUCGCCCGCCGACAGGAACCAACUAAACCCUUUGCAUUAUACAUUUAACACUUCCGAUACAAAACCAAAUUAUUACAACUUUUAACAAUGGAUC
rnacentral:misc_RNA from 1 species